rnacentral:rRNA from 1 species
UGAGUACGAGAUGCUACGGCAUCGAAGCAGUCUAUGUCAUACUUCCAAGAAAAGCUUGCACUGUCAGAAACAGAUAAUGCCUGUACCAUAACCGACACAGGUGGGUAGGUAGAGUAUACUAAGGGGCGCGAGAUAACUCUCUCUAAGGAACUCGGCAAAAUGACUCCGUAACUUCGGGAGAAGGAGUGCCUUAUUUUUAAGGUUGCAAUAACAAGAUCCAAGCAACUGUUUACCAAAAACACAGGUCUCCGCUAAGUCGUAAGACGAUGUAUGGGGGCUGACGCCUGCCCAGUGCCAGAAGGUUAAAGAAGUCGGUUAGCAUUCGCGAAGCUGGUAACUGAAGCCCUGGUGAACGGCGGCCGUAACGAUAACGGUCCUAAGGUAGCGAAAUUCCUUGUCGGGUAAGUUCCGACCCGCACGAAAGGCGUAAUGAUUUGGAUACUGUCUCGGAGAGGGGCUCGGUGAAAUAGACUUGUCUGUGAAGAUGCGGACUACCUGCACCUGGACAGAAAGACCCUAUGAAGCUUUACUGUAACUUGAAAUUGAAAUUGGACUUUAUUUGCGCAGUAUAGGUGGGAGGCGUUGAAAAUAUUCUUGCGGGAAUAUUGGAGCCAUCAGUGAGAUACCACUCUUGUAAUGUUAGAUUUCUAACUUUAUAUCAUUAUCUGGUUAAAGAACAGUUUCAGGCGGGCAGUUUGACUGGGGCGGCCGCCUCCCAAAUGGUAACGGAGGCGCACAAAGGUUUCCUCUGAACGGGUAGAAAUCGUAUCUAGAGUGUAAAGGCAUAAGGAAGCUUGACUGUGAGACCUACAAGUCGAGCAGGGACGAAAGUCGGUCUUAGUGAUCUGACGGUGCUGAGUGGAAAGGCCGUCACUCAACGGAUAAAAGUUACUCUAAGGAUAACAGGCUGAUCUCCCCCAAGAGUUCACAUCGACGGGGAGGUUUGGCACCUCGAUGUCGGCUCAUCGCAUCCUGGGGCGGUAGUACGUCCCAAGGGUUGGGCUGUUCGCCCAUGAAAGCGGUACGCGAGCUGGGUUCAGAACGUCGUGAGACAGUUCGGUCCAUAUCCGGUGUAGGCGUUAGAAUAUUGAGAGGAGCCUUCUUUAGUACGAGAGGACCGAGAAGGACAUACCUCUGGUGUACCAGUUAUCGUGCCAACGGUAAACGCUGGGUAGCUAUGUAUGGAGUGGAUAACCGCUGAAAGCAUCUAAGUGGGAAGCCCACCUCAAGAUAAGUAUUCUCAU